rnacentral:rRNA from 1 species
UGGGGAAUUUUGGACAAUGGGGGAAACCCUGAUCCAGCCAUCCCGCGUGUGCGAUGAAGGCCUUCGGGUUGUAAAGCACUUUUGGCAGGAAAGAAACGUCAUGGGUUAAUACCCCGUGAAACUGACGGUACCUGCAGAAUAAGCACCGGCUAACUACGUGCCAGCAGCCGCGGUAAUACGUAGGGUGCAAGCGUUAAUCGGAAUUACUGGGCGUAAAGCGUGCGCAGGCGGUUCGGAAAGAAAGAUGUGAAAUCCCAGAGCUCAACUUUGGAACUGCAUUUUUAACUACCGGGCUAGAGUGUGUCAGAGGGAGGUGGAAUUCCGCGUGUAGCAGUGAAAUGCUUAGAUAUGCGGAGGAACACCGAUGGCGAAGGCAGCCUCCUGGGAUAACACUGACGCUCAUGCACGAAAGCGUGGGGAGCAAACAGG